CGGGAAAAGAAGAGAAGGUGGAGCUGGAGCGAGGCAGUGUGAAGGAGAGGAACGGAAUGCUGGGCUUGGAGUCAAGAAGUCCUGUUUGACCCUGGAGUACCUUCAGAGCUACCCAUCAGUUUUUCUUAUCCCCUAAAAAAGUUAAGAUGAGAUCCAUAAAAUUGAUAUACCCGUUCCAC